UUAUUGGUUUAUCUGCAAUAGUGUCCACAAAUCAUUUCGAAUAAUUUGUAGAAAGUAGUUGGCUAAGGCGGCGGAAGACAAAGGACUUGUUGCCUUACAAAUGGCGAGAUCAUUCCAAUUAGA